rnacentral:rRNA from 1 species
UAGGGAAUCUUCGGCAAUGGACGAAAGUCUGACCGAGCAACGCCGCGUGAGUGAAGAAGGUUUUCGGAUCGUAAAACUCUGUUGUUAGAGAAGAACAAGGACGUUAGUAACUGAACGUCCCCUGACGGUAUCUAACCAGAAAGCCACGGCUAACUACGUGCCAGCAGCCGCGGUAAUACGUAGGUGGCAAGCGUUGUCCGGAUUUAUUGGGCGUAAAGCGAGCGCAGGCGGUUUCUUAAGUCUGAUGUGAAAGCCCCCGGCUCAACCGGGGAGGGUCAUUGGAAACUGGGAGGCUUGAGUGCAGAAGAGGAGAGUGGAAUUCCAUGUGUAGCGGUGAAAUGCGUAGAUAUAUGGAGGAACACCAGUGGCGAAGGCGGCUCUCUGGUCUGUAACAGACGCUGAGGCUCGAAAGCGUGGGGAGCAAACAGG